rnacentral:rRNA from 1 species
CCCUUAGAUGUUCUGGGCCGCACGCGCGCUACACUGAUGCAUUCAACGAGUCUAAAACCUGCUCUGAUAGGGGUGGGUAAUCUUUUGAAUGUGCAUCGUGAUUGGGAUAGAUGAUUGCAAUUUUUCAUCUUCAACGAGGAAUGCCUAGUAAACGCAAGUCAUCAGCUUGCAUUGAUUACGUCCCUGCCCUUUGUACACACCGCCCGUCGCUCCUACCGAUUGAAUGAUCCGAUGAAUAUCAUGGAUUGAGGAUGCAAGUAGGUUAGCCUAUCUUCAUCUUCGAGAAGUGAAGUAAAUCUUAUCAUUUGGAGGAAGGAGAAGUCGUAACA